GAUGAAGAACGUAGCGAAUUGCGAUAAGUAAUGUGAAUUGCAGAAUUCAGUGAAUCAUCGAAUCUUUGAACGCAUCUUGCGCUCCUUGGUAUUCUGAGGAGCAUGCCUGUUUGAGUGUCAUUAAAUUCUCAACUACACUGACUUUGAAUUGGUGUGGCUUGGAUUUGGGGGGAAAAUUGUUGUGGGCUUUUUGUAUAGUCUGCUCCCCUGAAAUUGAUUAGCGGUACCUUUGUGGAACUGUCUACAGGUGUGAUAAUUAUCUACAUCUUAGACAUCUGCUGGAAUGCUGCUUUCUAAACCUUACUUGUAUUGACAAUCUUGACCUCAAAUCAGGUAGGACUACCCGCUGAACUUAAGCAUAUCAAUAAGCGGAGGA
rnacentral:misc_RNA from 1 species